rnacentral:rRNA from 1 species
CCUACGGGGGGCAGCAGUGAGGAAUAUUGGUCAAUGGACGAGAGUCUGAACCAGCCAAGUAGCGUGAAGGAUGACUGCCCUAUGGGUUGUAAACUUCUUUUAUAUGGGAAUAAAAUGUUCCACGUGUGGGCUUUUGUAUGUACCAUAUGAAUAAGGAUCGGCUAACUCCGUGCCAGCAGCCGCGGUAAUACGGAGGAUCCGAGCGUUAUGCGGAUUUAUUGGGUGUAAAGGGAGCGUAGGUGGAUUGUUAAGUCAGUUGUGAAAGUUUGCGGCUCAACCGUAAAAUUGCAGUUGAAACUGGCAGUCUUGAGUACAGUAGAGGUGGGCGGAAUUCGUGGUGUAGCGGUGAAAUGCUUAGAUAUCACGAAGAACUCCGAUUGCGAAGGCAGCUCACUGGACUGCAACUGACACUGAGGCUCGAAAGUGUGGGUAUCAAACAGGAUUAGAUACCCCAGUAGUC